GCCGUCACGCGCCCGCCCGAAAGCUCCCGUCCUGCCAGGGCGCUGCCCCGGGUUGGUCCCCACUGCGGUCGGGACCCCCGCCUGUCCUGGCGCCGCCAUGGACCGCAUCGAGGGAGCGUCCGUGGGCCGCUGCGCCGCCUCACCCUACCUGCGGCCGCUCACGCUGCAUUACCGCCAGAACGGUGCCCAGAAGUCCUGGGACUUCAUGAAGACGCAUGACAGCGUGACCGUUCUCUUAUUCAACUCUUCUCGGAGGAGCCUGGUGUUGGUGAAGCAGUUCCGGCCAGCUGUGUAUGCGGGCGAGGUGGAGCGCCACUUCCCAGGGUCCCUAGCAGCUGUAGACCAGGACAGGCCCCGGGAGCUGCAGCCAGCCCUGCCCGGCUCAGCGGGGGUGACAGUUGAGCUGUGUGCCGGCCUUGUGGACCAGCCUGGGCUCUCGCUGGAGGAAGUGGCUUGCAAGGAGGCUUGGGAGGAGUGUGGCUACCACUUGGCCCCGUCUGAUCUGCGCCGGGUCGCCACAUACUGAAUGCAGCCUGGUCCCUCUGCCAUCCUGUCCUCCCAGCCUGUGGUCUCCCUCCACACAUGCCAGUCCAGGCACCUUUCCUUGGUGCCUGACCCCUCCUGGCUGCCAGCAGCCCCCUUCUGGCCACUGCCCACUGAGGGAGGGGGCUCCGUCUCACCCCUCCCCAGCCUGGGCCACUGGGCCUGAUCCUGGGGACCUCGCUGCCACCCCACCCCACUCUGCCAUGCUGCGGGGGGGUCAGUGCAUGCUGUCCCUAGUUUGAAACUUGUGUCCUGUGGGUUCCUGGUGGGGAACCCUUGUGGGAAGGCCAUUCCCAGCUUGCUGGGUUUGUCCCUGCUUCCCAGCCAGCCUCUGUCCCCAGGUAUGGGCUGGGGUCUGGCAUGGGCCUCUGCAGCCGGCCACAGACUGAGGGGCUCCAGACAACACCGGGAACAGCCUCAGGGUGUCUGUGGUUGGGGGCUGCAUACAGGGCUGGGGUCCUCUGCUCAGCCUUGACAGGUGGCAGGCAGGUUGUCAGCCGGAUCUGCAAUCUCAUGGGGGCAUGAGGUAUCCUUGGCCCACAUGGAUAUGGCAGAAUUCAUGUCCUGGUGGCUGGCAACUGGGUCCCACCUCUCUGCUGGCUGUUGGCCCCUCCCAGCAUGGCGGUUGCUUCCUCUUCAGGGCCAGUAGGACAGGUCCGAAUUUCUCCCUCUCUGGCAUUGAAACACUCUCUGGAGGGCUUCCUGAUUGGGCCAUGCCUGCCUAGGAUGCUCUCCCUUUUGAUGAGCUCAAGUCACUGCUUAGGGUCCUUAAUCACAUCUACAACACCCUCCCCACCUGGCGAGUACAACCUGAUCAGGGAAGGGAUGCCCUGCUGGUGGAGGGGCCACAGGCGUGCACACCAGGUCUGGAGUGGGACUGACUGGCUCCAGACAGACCAUGUUCUACACAGAGGUGACAGACGCCCAGCGUAGUGGUCCAGGUGGGGGCCUGGCAGAGGAAGGUGAGCUCAUUGAGGUGGUGCACCUGCCGCUGGAAGGCGCCCAGGCCUUUGCAGACGACCCGGACAUCCCGAAGACCCUCGGCGUCAUCUUUGGUGUCUCGUGGUUCCUCAGCCAGGUGGCCCCCAACCUGGAUCUCCAGUGAGAUCCAGGGUUCUAGACAGAGGCCAGUCUUGGCCACUUACCCUACAUUCUGCAGACCCAAUAAAGGCUUACAUAGCUCCA